rnacentral:rRNA from 1 species
UACGUAGGGUGCGAGCGUUAAUCGGAAUUACUGGGCGUAAAGGGUGCGCAGGCGGUCUCGUAAGCUGGGUGUGAAAGCCCCGGGCUUAACCUGGGAAUGGCAUUCAGGACUGCGAGGCUUUGAGUGUGGCAGAGGGAGGUGGAAUUCCACGUGUAGCAGUGAAAUGCGUAGAGAUGUGGAGGAACACCGAUGGCGAAGGCAGCCCCCUGGGCUGAGAUUGACGCUCAGGCACGAAAGCGUGGGGAGCAAACAGG